ACUAGUUGCCUCUCCUUUGGAAGCAAGAUUUCUAUAAUUGGCAGCUGGUAUCUUUCUUCAGGGCCUAAACAUGUUGCUGGAUCUUUCUAAAUAGACCUGUUGUUGCAUGCAAAAGAACAUCAAGAGAAUACUGAGGAAAAGAAAUCCUCAAUUGAUUAGAAUCCAACUUCUUGAAGUACAGCUGCGAACUAAGGAAACACAGUAAAGAGCUAACAAGAAAAAUUUGAACAAAUUACUGAAGCUAUUGUAUGAUUAAACAGUGCAACUCUAAUGGCUUGGAAUUACCAAGGAGACUGAAGUAGCAAAUGACAAUAAUACCCUGGAAGUAGGUUAGCAUGUCAUGUUUGGGGGAGGCUUGCUAGCAACUCCACGAGGCAACAGCUGUUUUCAAGGACAUGUGACAAGAAGAAAUCUCCUUUGGUAAAUAUGCAAGUUUCCUGAUUUGUUUUCGUUUUGUUGAAAAAAACCCACAACAACAUACUUACUAAUUUUCAAAUAUUUUUUUUUAAUUAAAAUGACAGUUUACAGCUAUUUUUAAAAAAGGUCUUCCUUAAUAAUAGUUAAGAAAGAGCAGGGAGGAGGUUUGUUAUGUUUAGAUAUUUUUAAAUGCUAUAGUCAGGCUUGUAAAAAUGUAUUAACAUCUUCUAAAAUUACUGACUCCAUAAAUAAACAGUAAGCAUGAUUUACUAAGCA
rnacentral:lncRNA from 1 species